UACGUGCUUAAGGUGGACCGGCGCUAGGCAAACGCGGGAGCCCGCGGCAGGGGUGCGCCCAGCCAAACCUCCGCGCGGGGCCGGGCUUGUCCCGCGCUCCCUCUUAGGGAAUUCGGCUCCCUAGCCCCGUGCGCCCGGCUCCUUCCGGAACCUCUGCACGCUGUAGCUCGGCUCUGAGGCGGGUGGCGCUUCUCCGCGGACACAGGGAGGAAAAUGCAUUUCCCGAUUUAGAAAAAGAAAAGGGAACCUGAGGGCUCAGACUGGCAUUACAAUCUCCUCACUUCUGGGAUUUUUCCUGACCUUGACCCGAGACCAGAAGUUCCCAAGAUGGAAAAACUGUGAAAAAUUAAAUAAAUCUGCCUUUCUGCUAAUGAUGCCCAGAAUCUGCAGCCUGCCCUGAGCUCACACUGGAAGUCAGUUGGAAUGUGUCAUGGACCCUAGAGUGGUGUAAGCCGUUGUCGAUUUGAGUGUUUGCCUAACUAUAUGUCUGUGCACCAUGUAUGUUCAGGGCCUACGGAGGAGCAGAAGAGGGUAUCAAGUCCCCCUGGCCUGGAGUUACAGACUGUGAGCUUCCCUGUGGGUGCAGAGAAUCAACUGAUAAAUAAAAACAAA